rnacentral:misc_RNA from 1 species
GGUUAACAUCUUGUUUGGGUGCUAUUGGUUUUACAUGGCAAAUUAUUUUUAUUAACAUACGGAAGCAGGAAACAUGGGCAAACAAUAACCAACUUUUAGCCUUCUCAUUGUUUUGUAGAAAGGUUUAAUCAACUAUAAACUGGAGCAAUUGCCAAUGGAUAUGCUAAUGCAGUGGCUGAAUUUUGGUUUCAUUAAGGCUUAAUCAACUAUAAACUGGAGCAAUUGCCAAUGGAUAUGCUAAUGCAGUGGCUGAAUUUUGGUUUCAUUAAGGC